rnacentral:rRNA from 1 species
UGGGGAAUAUUGGACAAUGGGCGAAAGCCUGAUCCAGCCAUGCCGCGUGUGUGAAGAAGGUCUUCGGAUUGUAAAGCACUUUAAGUUGGGAGGAAGGGCAUUAACCUAAUACGUUAGUGUUUUGACGUUACCGACAGAAUAAGCACCGGCUAACUCUGUGCCAGCAGCCGCGGUAAUACAGAGGGUGCAAGCGAUAAUCGGAAUUACUGGGCGUAAAGCGCGCGUAGGUGGUUUGUUAAGUUGGAUGUGAAAGCCCCGGGCUCAACCUGGGAACUGCAUCCAAAACUGGCAAGCUAGAGUACGGUAGAGGGUGGUGGAAUUUCCUGUGUAGCGGUGAAAUGCGUAGAUAUAGGAAGGAACACCAGUGGCGAAGGCGACCACCUGGACUGAUACUGACACUGAGGUGCGAAAGCGUGGGGAGCAAACA